CCUUUGUCCCGUGUGCUCUGGAGAUUGCAUCCCACGCAGGCAGCCCCCUUCCGUACAAGAGAGGCUGGCGGUUACCUUUCUUGGGGAGACGCGUCCGACUGCUUCAUUGUGGGGGCCUCAGGAGCGGAGGAUCGGGUCCCGCCCGAGGUGACGCGUAAACCCAGACUCUCAGCAACGCGGGUAGGAAGGACCCUUGAAGUUCCGCGGCGACCACGGAACUGUGCCUUCGAUCUCCACAGUCGGCUGAAACCAGCAGCCCAGGACAAGUGGACCAGCCAGCAAGACCCAGACCAUCCAAACCGGCUGAUCCUACGACAGGACCCAGAUGCCAGUGAAAGUGACCACAGCCCUGCUCUAGUCACCCCGGAAGCUGACCAGUCUACGCACGGCCGAAGCUUCGUCAAGGAAGUAAAUGUAGUUAGAAAUCUUAAGCCCAGUAAUUUUCCUUGUCAUCUUAAUUGUUUUACUAUUAACCUGUCGCUUUGCUCAACCCCCUCCUCUGGGCAAACAUCUCUUGUCCAUCCUAGGUACAAACAUGCUACUCUUCCCUUUGUUCUUGCUGCUCUCGCUAGAUCUAUGUCAGAAGGAGGGAUAUGCGGAGAGUUUAAUUUAACUAAUUGUUGCCUAAAAAUCGA
rnacentral:lncRNA from 10 species